AGGGUUUGAUAUGGGCUCAGAACGAACGCUGGCAGCGUGGAUUAGGCAUGCAAGUCGAACGGGAAUCCGUGUAUUCAAUUCUUCGGAAGAGAACGUGCGGAAGAGAGUGGCGGAAGGGUGAGUAACGCGUGGGUAACUUGCCUCUGAGUUGGGGACAACCAGCCGAAAGGUUGGCUAAUACCGAAUAUGAUCUUCCAACGCAUGUUGGGAUGAUUAAAGGUGGGGAUCCUUCGGGACCUGCCGCUUAGAGAGAGGCCCGCGUACCAUCAGCUUGUUGGUGAGGUAAUGGCUCACCAAGGCUUACGGUUAGCUGGUCUGAGAGGAUGGUCAGCCACACUGGGACUGAGACACUGCCCAGACUCCUACGGGAGGCUGCAGUCGAGGAUCAUUUGCAAUGCGCGAAAGCGUGACAAUGCGACGCAGCGUGGAGGAUGACGGCCCUAGGGUUGUAAACUCCUGUCAUUUGGGAGCAAUAGCGGGACGGUUAAUAACCGCCCCGUGUGAUAGUACCAAAAGAGGAAGCCACGGCUAACUCUGUGCCAGCAGCCGCGGUAAUACAGAGGUGGCUAGCGUUGUUCGGAUUUACUGGGCGUAAAGCGUGCGUAGGUGGUACUGUAUGUCGGGUGUGAAAGCCCACCGCUCAACGGUGGAAUUGCGUCCGAAACUGCAGAACUUNGAGUACAGGGAGGGGAGAGCGGAAUUCUUGGUGUAGCGGUGAAAUGCGUUGAUAUCAAGAAGAACACCGGUGGCGAAGGCGGCUCUCUGGAAUG
rnacentral:rRNA from 1 species